UGUGCCGGGGCGCGGCGAGCGCGGGAGGCCAGCGCCCACCCCCGCGGCGGCGGACCCCCGUGGUACUGCCCGGCGGCAGCGCCACAUCAGCCGGGCGCGAUGGCGGCGGUGGGGGCUGAGGGGGCACGUCCUCACACACCGCCUUCCAGCGCUCUAUUAAUCCCUACCAGACCUUUGUGGGGUUAAAAUAAUAUUUUCCGUGAGGUAAAAGGUGAGGGGGGCCAUGCCCUGGCACCGCUGCACGCCCCGGUGAGCGCGAGAGGCCUUCAGAGGGGCGGUGACAUCGCGGUGCAGUCGGACACUGAGUAGGGACAGUGAUCUGAGGGGUCACAGUGCACAGUCCUGGCGUUUUAGGAUGAUUUUUAAAUGGUUUUAAAGCUUGAAUUUAUCUUUCACACCGGCUACCAAGGUGACUGACCAUCAGAGAGACCUGGCCCCGCGUUAUCGAUUAAACCACUGCCUUCCGUCGCGGGCGCUUCAAGCUGAUGAAAAAUACGUAGAGUGUCACUUUUCUCAGCAUGUGUGCUAAUACAGUAUGUUCAAAGUGGCUAAGGGAACCUGGAAUUUGCCUUCUUGAGGUGACAACUGUAGAGGAAAAAGAACAGUUCUCGAGGAAUAGUUCUGUGCCCUCUUAGGAGGUGAACACUUGUGUUUUGAGUAGGACUUUUGGUGGUUUUAUUUUUUUAGCCCAGUGCUUUCAGUCAGAUCAUCAAAGCAGUAAAAAUGCCAGCAUUAAAAAAACAAACAAACAAACAAACAACAAACAAACAUGAGAAGAGCAGAGCAGAUAUUAUACUUGGCAUUUUAAAUUUAGACCCCGUUGCAGUAUCUCUCAUGUUUUGGUAAAAUCUCGAGGGAAGAUGACACGAAGCAAAGGCGGACAGCCCCGUUGUGUGAUUUAUCGGGCAGUCACACGAUGGCAGCCGAGCUCCACUCACAUUCCCUUCGCCGAGCGUGUCCACUCCUUUCUGGAGCCACGGGCAGCACGUAUGAAUGGAAACGAUGACUGGCACUUUGUGCGGCUAUUUUUUCCCCUCAUUAUAUCAUGGUAGCUGACCAGACUUUGACUCCCCAGUCAGCAGAAGCACCGACACGCUGAAGUGAACAGAGAAUGCUGUUUCCUGCCAUCACAACCACAUAUUUCUCCAAAUGUGAGGGAGGAGGUGCUGCCGUUCCAUUCAUAGUCCCAGCUGGGUCCUCAGUAUUCCAUUGCUCUCCAGGACUGUCUUUCGUCUGCACCCACGCUCUGGGACUGAGCUGGAACAGCACCGAGGGAGGAGGAGAAGGAGAAUCACUCGACUCAUUCACAUCUUUGUAGCAGCACAGAAAGUUUCAAGGGGGAGCCUUAUGGUUGCAAUUACACCUGAAAUAAUUCUCA